rnacentral:rRNA from 1 species
CCUGAUCCCAUCCCGAACUCAGUAGUGAAACGACGCMUCGCCGAUGGUAGUGUGGAGUUUCUCCAUGUGAGAGUAGGUCAUCGUCAAGC